AAACAACUAGUUUUCCAGAGCUCUCACCAUUGAGAUGAUGCCUGCAACAUCUUCGACAUUCUACACAUGGGAGUUGGGUUCUAAUUCCCUCCCUUGAUCCGGGAUCGCCUUACUGACUCGCUUGGCCAGUAGCACGCAGUGGAAGUCAAUGUCUGGAACUUUCAAGACAUCUCCCUUCCAACUCUUGGCGCUUCUGCUAUCCAGAACCACAUCAGCUUCCUGAACAGACCAAUGUCCACCUGCACCUGGGCCUCUGCAUGUCUCUUUCCUCUGCCUCAAGAGUGGAUCCACACCUUCCUUCUUCUAAGUGUAAUUAAAGAGGCCCUUUGUGCCGCCUUCAGAUUUUUUUUUCUUGUCCCAACUUUUCCUGUGCUCUUGUCUCCGUGGAACUAUUCAUACAGGUCAGUAUCAUUUUCCUUCUAGAAAAUGAGUCCAUUGGAAAGCCUCCCGGUUAGCCAUAAAACUUGAGAUCCCAGGGAAAGAUGUGGUCUUUCUUGCUGGAGACUGACUCAGAGAUUAUUUUCAUGAAGCCAAGGAGUUUAAGCUCAGAGCCCCUCCCUUGUUUAAAUCCCCUCAAGGACCUGAGGGUAAGAACCCUAGUAUUGUGUCCUAGGGGCGAUAUAUUUUA
rnacentral:lncRNA from 1 species